AGAGUUUGAUCCUGGCUCAGGACGAACGCUGGCGGCGUGCCUAAUACAUGCAAGUAGAACGCUGAAGAGAGGAGCUUGCUCUUCUUGGAUGAGUUGCGAACGGGUGAGUAACGCGUAGGUAACCUGCCUUGUAGCGGGGGAUAACUAUUGGAAACGAUAGCUAAUACCGCAUAACAAUGGAUGACACAUGUCAUUUAUUUGAAAGGGGCAAUUGCUCCACUACAAGAUGGACCUGCGUUGUAUUAGCCAGUAGGUGAGGUAACGGCUCACCUAGGCGACGAUACAUAGCCGACCUGAGAGGGUGAUCGGCCACACUGGGACUGAGACACGGCCCAGACUCCUACGGGAGGCAGCAGUAGGGAAUCUUCGGCAAUGGGGGCAACCCUGACCGAGCAACGCCGCGUGAGUGAAGAAGGUUUUCGGAUCGUAAAGCUCUGUUGUAAGUCAAGAACGAGUGUGAGAGUGGAAAGUUCACACUGUGACGGUAGCUUACCAGAAAGGGACGGCUAACUACGUGCCAGCAGCCGCGGUAAUACGUAGGUCCCGAGCGUUGUCCGGAUUUAUUGGGCGUAAAGCGAGCGCAGGCGGUUUGAUAAGUCUGAAGUUAAAGGCUGUGGCUCAACCAUAGUUCGCUUUGGAAACUGUCAAACUUGAGUGCAGAAGGGGAGAGUGGAAUUCCAUGUGUAGCGGUGAAAUGCGUAGAUAUAUGGAGGAACACCGGUGGCGAAAGCGGCUCUCUGGUCUGUAACUGACGCUGAGGCUCGAAAGCGUGGGGAGCGAACAGGAUUAGAUACCCUGGUAGUCCACGCCGUAAACGAUGAGUGCUAGGUGUUGGAUCCUUUCCGGGAUUCAGUGCCGCAGCUAACGCAUUAAGCACUCCGCCUGGGGAGUACGACCGCAAGGUUGAAACUCAAAGGAAUUGACGGGGGCCCGCACAAGCGGUGGAGCAUGUGGUUUAAUUCGAAGCAACGCGAAGAACCUUACCAGGUCUUGACAUCCCGAUGCUAUUUCUAGAGAUAGAAAGUUACUUCGGUACAUCGGUGACAGGUGGUGCAUGGUUGUCGUCAGCUCGUGUCGUGAGAUGUUGGGUUAAGUCCCGCAACGAGCGCAACCCCUAUUGUUAGUUGCCAUCAUUCAGUUGGGCACUCUAGCGAGACUGCCGGUAAUAAACCGGAGGAAGGUGGGGAUGACGUCAAAUCAUCAUGCCCCUUAUGACCUGGGCUACACACGUGCUACAAUGGUUGGUACAACGAGUUGCGAGUCGGUGACGGCAAGCUAAUCUCUUAAAGCCAAUCUCAGUUCGGAUUGUAGGCUGCAACUCGCCUACAUGAAGUCGGAAUCGCUAGUAAUCGCGGAUCAGCACGCCGCGGUGAAUACGUUCCCGGGCCUUGUACACACCGCCCGUCACACCACGAGAGUUUGUAACACCCGAAGUCGGUGAGGUAACCUUUUGGAGCCAGCCGCCUAAGGUGGGAUAGAUGAUUGGGGUGAAGUCGUAACAAGGUA
rnacentral:rRNA from 1 species